rnacentral:rRNA from 1 species
GAUGAACGCUGGCGGCGUGCUUAACACAUGCAAGUCGAACGAAGCACCUUGAUUUGAUUCUUCGGAUGAAGAUCUUGGUGACUGAGUGGCGGACGGGUGAGUAACGCGUGGGUAACCUGCCUCAUACAGGGGGAUAACAGUUAGAAAUGACUGCCAAUACCGCAUAAGACCACAGCACCGCAUGGUGCAGGGGUAAAAACUCCGGUGGUAUGAGAUGGACCCGCGUCUGAUUAGGUAGUUGGGGGGGUAACGGCCUACCAAGCCGACGAUCAGUAGCCGACCUGAGAGGGUGACCGGCCACAUUGGGACUGAGACACGGCCCAAACUCCUACGGGAGGCAGCAGUGGGGAAUAUUGCACAAUGGGGGAAACCCUGAUGCAGCGACGCCGCGUGAGCGAUGAAGUAUUUCGGUAUGUAAAGCUCUAUCAGCAGGGAAGAAAAUGACGGUACCUGACUAAGAAGCACCGGCUAAAUACGU